rnacentral:lncRNA from 1 species
AAUACGUUGUUUGAGAAUUGUGUACACUUGUUAGUUGACUCGGUGGGUUGAUCUCCAUCGGGCUCUAACCAGAGGCGUUAUAAGGGUGCUCGGCUGGAUGUGUUCCGGAGCAUGAGAAAUAUUAGGCCUGCCUGGGUAGCGUCCCGAGGUCAAAGUAAACUUGUCUGGGUUACGCCCUCAGUUCAAGUAAGCGGGAGACAGAGAUCCGUCGGUGGCUAAAAGGUCCGGGAUCACAGCGAGUAACAGAAAGGGAGUGUGACAUGUGCGCACAAAUGAAAGAAAAUAUUUUAACAUGCUUAGAAGUUAUUUCAAUUUAAAACCUUCUAAGUCAUGUCAAGUAUGAUUGGAUAAACUGUCUUUAUUAAAAUAUGAAAUGUUUCAGAAAAUGCAUGCCCACUAAGUACAUUAGUACUUAGCCCAAAAAUACUUUCAAAUGUUUUCAGGUUGGCUGGCUGGUGCUGACGGGACGGAGCUGAGGCUAGCAAUAAAUUCCUAUGUUAGACUUCCGCUGUAGCAAUUACUCAUAUCAGUCUUUUGUUUUUCCCAACUUAAGAUCUUCAUGUUAAACUGCAAAUGAUAUACCUGAUCGAGCUUAGACUCUUCACUACUAAAUUUAUGCCAAUGAAUGUCGGUUGUCAAAAGCAUGAAACAAAACUUGUGAUCCAAAGGGGCAUAGCCCGACUUUCUAUCCUAUUUCGG